GGCUUGUGCUUUCAUUUGCUGAAUUUCUAUUGAAUCCACUUUUCUUCUCCUCAUAAAUAGGUCGUGGUUUCCAAUGCACAACUGCAGAAUCUGGAUCAAAAAGAAAAGAAGAUGUGAUUGUGACAUAACUGUACCCCAUCCAGAGGGAAAAAGAACCUCACAGCAGCAUGACAGGGAAGCAGCGAUUUAUGCCACAAACACAGGGAGAGUGAUUCCAAGUGCUUUGCUCACAAGAAUCAGAACCAGGGCUGCUCUCUUUAUACAGGCCAUUUUGGAAGAUAAAGCCUCCCACAGAGCCACAUCUGAUGCCAGUUUGGAUGAUAUUUUUCAUAAUAGUACCACCUGUGCCUUGCAAACUGUACUGAGAACACUGGAACACGCACUGGCUAACAGGAAAAACAGAAUGCAUUGCUAGGAAUCUGACUCCUGGGUGUAAAGUAAGGCAGAUGUCAAACCCCAAUCUGAAUCCCAAACCAUUUCAGGUGCAAACGAAACAUAUCACAAAAGCCUGAAGGAUUUGUUCUUCUGACCAUGAGAUAGCACUACUAGAGCUCCUGCCUUCUCACAUUUUCACUGCUAUCUCCCAGGCUGUUUCCAGAAGAGAUAAAAGGUUUUCAUGCCGCCAGGAGGCCCAAAGAAAGAAA